rnacentral:rRNA from 1 species
CCUACGGGUGGCAGCAGUGGGGAAUAUUGCACAAUGGGCGCAAGCCUGAUGCAGCCAUGCCGCGUGUGUGAAGAAGGCCUUCGGGUUGUAAAGCACUUUCAGCGGGGAGGAAGGCGGUGAGGUUAAUAACCUCAUCGAUUGACGUUACCCGCAGAAGAAGCACCGGCUAACUCCGUGCCAGCAGCCGCGGUAAUACGGAGGGUGCAAGCGUUAAUCGGAAUUACUGGGCGUAAAGCGCACGCAGGCGGUCUGUCAAGUCGGAUGUGAAAUCCCCGGGCUCAACCUGGGAACUGCAUUCGAAACUGGCAGGCUAGAGUCUUGUAGAGGGGGGUAGAAUUCCAGGUGUAGCGGUGAGAUGCGUAGAGAUCUGGAGGAAUACCGGUGGCGAAGGCGACCCCCUGGACAAAGACUGACGCUCAGGUGCGAAAGCGUGGGGAGCAAACAGGAUUAGAUACCCGUGUAGUC